rnacentral:ncRNA from 2 species
AUAACUCGUUAGGGGUGGCUAGAUGCUUCUGGCCUGAGAAAUACCCUCGAACCUGAUCUGUGUCAUGACAGCGUAGGAAAACGAAGCUGACUCCCU